UUUGUUUAAUCCUAUUUUUACAAGAUUGGUUUGAGAGGACGAUCUGCAUAUGUUUAAUAUUCUGGCAAAACGUUACUUUGGAAACAUGUCUUUUGAAGCGGGUGAUUACAAGGUUUUGGUAUUUUCCAUCGGUUGGAGUUGUGAGAUAUAUAUAUAUAUAUAAAGAGAGAGUGA